GACGAACGCUGGCGGCGUGCUUAACACAUGCAAGUCGAACGGAAAGGCCCUGCUUUUGUGGGGUGCUCGAGUGGCGAACGGGUGAGUAACACGUGAGUAACCUGCCCUUGACUUUGGGAUAACUUCAGGAAACUGGGGCUAAUACCGGAUAGGCGCUCCUGCUGCAUGGUGGGGUUUGGAAAGUUUCGGCGGUUGGGGAUGGACUCGCGGCUUAUCAGCUUGUUGGUGGGGUAGUGGCUUACCAAGGCUUUGACGGGUAGCCGGCCUGAGAGGGUGACCGGCCACAUUGGGACUGAGAUACGGCCCAGACUCCUACGGGAGGCAGCAGUGGGGAAUAUUGCACAAUGGGCGGAAGCCUGAUGCAGCAACGCCGCGUGCGGGAUGACGGCCUUCGGGUUGUAAACCGCUUUCGCCUGUGACGAAGCGUGAGUGACGGUAAUGGGUAAAGAAGCACCGGCUAACUACGUG
rnacentral:rRNA from 1 species